UACGUAGGGUGCAAGCGUUGUCCGGAAUUAUUGGGCGUAAAGAGCUCGUAGGCGGUCUGUCGCGUCGAAUGUGAAAACCCGGGAGCUACCACCGGGCCUGCAUUCGAUACGGGCAGACUAGAGUUCGGUAGGGGAGUCUGGAAUUCCUGGUGUAGCGGUGAAAUGCGCAGAUAUCAGGAGGAACACCGGUGGCGAAGGCGGGACUCUGGGCCGAUACUGACGCUGAGGAGCGAAAGUGUGGGGAGCGAACAGG
rnacentral:rRNA from 1 species